ACCUGUACCUAGGGAGGACCUGGGCUGCAGUACCAAGCAUGGCUGGCGGAACCCUCAGGGCUGAGGCACCAUGGAAGCAGAGGAUGAAAGAGCAGUGCUGAGCUCUGCCCUGCCAGGCUCCACCAGUCCAACUGCAGAAGAGAAAGUGCCAAAUGUGAAUUACUUACUGUCUGCCCAGAGAGCAAAACUCAUCAUGCUUCAGAGGCAGUUGACAAAACCUCAAUCCCAGAGCUGCAGAGGAAGCUGCCAAAAUGGAGAGAGGCCAAGAGCCAGAGAUGUGUGCAAAGAAGAGCUCCUGCAGUAAUGCCAGCAGCCCGACUUUACACGGCAGCUGUUCUGAACGGGUUGGGUUGUUUUUAUUUACAUUCUAAUCACUUUUGACAUUAUCAGCAACUGCUCUUCUGAUUGAAGCUUUUGGUAUAUGAACUCACAUUUGUGCUUCUUUUGGUAGAUUAAUAGUUACAUCCCUGCAUGCAUAAUUAGGAAUUCAAUACAAAACAGUCCUCAGUGAGCACCUGCCAGCCCAUGCAGAAGGCCUGGUGCAUGGGGCUGAGGAGAGCACCUGCGCUCACUCCUAUUUGGGUGGAUGGUGGUGAACCUCAGCCAGCCUUU